UCCCUUUCUCUAACUAAAUCCUCUUGUGUGUGUAUCUAUAUAUAAUUAUUUCUAUAUAUUAUUCCCUAACAAGACAACCCCAAGUCCUAAGUCCUCUGUUGUUGUUGGUGUGCUGGCAUUUUAGUUGGGUGCAUUAUCAAGUGCCUGAAACAUAAACACAAAACUGAAAUGGUGUGUCCUGAGGAAUCAUUUGGAGGCAAUGAGAGCUCUUUUGCUUACCUUCAUCCUAACCCUGUUGUGUUAGAGCUCACCCGAUUGCAGAACCAACUCAAAGGUACUUGAUACUGAAACAUGUUAAUGGAUUGUUAGAUCUGUAAGAAAAGGAAGAACAACACUAACAAUUUAUGUAAUACUACUUGUCAUGUUAUGUUACUUAAUAUUAUUCCAGAAAGGGACAGGGAGUUAGGAGCUGCCCAGGCUGAAAUCAAAGCUUUGAGAGCAACUGAAGCACUGAAGGAUAAGGCCAUACAUGAGGUACUGAAAUUAAGAAUAUAUGCUGUAGUUUGAGUACUGUAAUUAUUCUGAAACUAUUCAUUUCUUUUUCUUAUUUUCAGCUCCAGGGUGAAGUUCAAAAGUUGGAUGAGAAACAUAGGGUCGCUGAGAAUAUCCUUCAACAUAAGGUUAGGUCCUGGCCCCUAGUUCUGUACUUAUAAUGUUUAAGUAAUGGUGCUGAAUUAAUCCUAUGCCACGUAGAACCUCGAAAUCAAGAAACUGACGAAUGAGAAGAAAGAUGCAAUGGCUGCACAAUUUGCUGCAGAAGCAACUCUUAGAAGGGUGCAUGCAAACCAAAAGGAUGAUGAUGAUGUUUCUAUCGAAUCCGUCGUUGCUCCUCUUGAGGCAGAGAUAAAAAUGUAUAAGAAUGAGGUAGGCACAGGGUUGUGGCCUUGUUUUCUGCUUUGUUGCUCCUACUAGACUAACACUCUACUUACAGAUUGCAAUGCUACAUGAGGAUAAGAGGGCGUUGGAACGUCUUACUAAGUCGAAAGAGUUGGCUCUGCUCGAAGCAGAGAAGAUUUUGCGAAGUGCUUUAGAAAGGGCUUUAAUAGUUGAGGAGGUUCAAAACCAGAACUUUGAGUUAAGGAGACAGAUUGAGAUUUGUCAGGCAAGUUUGAGGCUCUUACUGCAGUCGGUUACUAUUAAGGGAUUCAAGACCCUUUUUAACCUAUGAAAAUUGUGUCUUAAUGCAGGAGGAGCACAAAAUCCUUGAGAAAACCAAUCGCCAAAAGGUCUUAGAGAUUGAAAAGCUAAGCCAAACUAUUCAAGAACUCGAGGAGGCGAUUUUGGCUGGAGGGGCUGCUGCUAACUCUGUCCGGGACUAUCAGAGACAAAUUUCGCAACUUAAUGUGAUGUUCCAUUCCAUGCUUACAUGCUGAUCAUAAUCUUUUCUACAUGAACUAUGGUCAUAUGUUGUUCAUAUAGGUAUUAACUGUAAUGAGUCAAUUAAUUCAGGAAGAAAAGAGGACGCUCGAGAGGGAGCUUGCACGAGUUAAAGUCUCGGCCAACCGUGUAGCGACCGUGGUGGCCAAUGAGUGGAAGGAUGAGAAUGACAAGGUAAUGCCUGUCAAGCAAUGGCUGGAAGACAGAAGGCUGCUGCAGGUAAUUCUUGGAAAUUCUCAGCGUAUUUAGGGCUACUUUAGCAUUGCUAUUGUGGUUUAAAAGUGCUUUUGAACUGUGAAAAGCAGUACUAAACAGUAAACAUACCCUUAAUAAGCUAACAAAUGCAAGUGAAUGGAGAAAAAUUUCCUCUUCACUGUAACUGCAACUUAAAACAAUGCAUGAUCAUAAAUAUAAGGAUUAUGAACCAGACAACUGCUACCCUCAAACAUAAUUCUUUUAUGUUUUAUUUGGAACUAAAUUUCUGUAUUUAUAGGCAGAGAUGCAAAGAUUGAAGGACAAACUAGCUGUGUCAGAGAGAAUAGCAAAGGCAGAAGCACAACUUAAGGUCAAAUUUGACAGUUUAAAUUAAAUUUGACUUAAAUAUUAAUGCAGACAGUAUUUUCUCAAGCUCAAUGUAAAUAUGGUCCAGGAGAAACUCAAGCUAAGGCUCAAAAUAUUGGAAGAUGGCUUAAAACAUGCAUCAAGUUUGUCAGUUAAUGCAUCUUAUGGGUCCCCAAAACCAGACAAGUCCAGCAAUAUAUUAGGGCUUUUAACAGGCAGCAGUGGACCAAGGAAGAGGUGUACCUCUCAACCAAGGGCUUCUACCAUCAGUGCCACUCUACUGCAGCGGCCAAGUGUAGAAACUGAAACAGCCAAUACCAGAAUAAGACAAGGUAGCAGCUUGAGAAGAAGGCCUGUAUCAGAAGAAAAUAUGGUGAGAAAAAAUUUGUGGGCGUCUAGGUGUAAGGUUGCUGAUAGUAGUGAAAAGGAAAAUGCAGAAAAUAAGGUCAAUGAACAGACUGAAAAGAAAAACAAUGAAGAGAAUGAAAACAGAGGGAAUGCUGAAGAUAUGGUUUCAGGGUUUUUGUAUGAUAAGCUUCAGAAAGAGGUCAUUAAUCUAAGGAAGUUUUGUGAGGCUAAGGAUAAUAGCUUGAAUGCUAAAGAUGAAGAAAUAAAGGUGAAGCGUUUGUAAUUGUUUCCUUCUUUAUGUACGUAUGUAUGUAUGUAUGUGUUACUGAAAGAUGUAAUUGUUUUACAGAUGCUGAUGAAAAAGGUUGUAGCAUUCUCAAGAGCCAUGGAAAUGGAGUCUAAACGAGUGAAGAAGGAAACACAACUUGUUAAAGAAAAGAAGAAUGGAUCACCCAAAAUGGAGGAUACCAAAAAGGUGAAAAACAAUAACUGUAGAAGGUCU
rnacentral:lncRNA from 1 species